UACCUGCAGUGUUAAGGUUCAAGGCCAUU
rnacentral:piRNA from 1 species